UGUGAGGGCCAAUCAGCGGUCGAACCUCGUCGAUGUUAGCUCGGCGUGCCGAGGCGAACUUCAGAGGCGAGGUGGACCGACUGGUAUGUGCAACA